rnacentral:rRNA from 1 species
UACGUAGGUGGCAAGCGUUGUCCGGAUUUAUUGGGCGUAAAGAGCUCGUAGGCGGUUCAGUAAGUCGGGUGUGAAAACUCUGGGCUUAACUCAGAGCCGCCACUCGAUACUGCUGUGACUUGAGUUCGGUAGGGGAGCGGGGAAUUCCUAGUGUAGCGGUGAAAUGCGCAGAUAUUAGGAGGAACACCGGUGGCGAAGGCGCCGCUCUGGGCCGAUACUGACGCUGAGGAGCGAAAGCGUGGGUAGCAAACAGG